CAUUGAAUGGCCGAUUAGGUGAUGGUCUCUUAAACCAUUUAUAGCAUUUAGCUUUCAAUGA
rnacentral:tRNA from 1 species